rnacentral:rRNA from 1 species
GUGUCAGCCGCCGCGGUAAUACGGAGGGGGCGAGCGUUAUUCGGAAUCACUGGGCGUAAAGCGUACGUAGGCGGCUUAACAAGUCAGAAGUGAAAUCCCAGGGCUUAACCCUGGAACUGCUUUUGAAACUGUUUCGCUAGAAUAUCGGAGAGGUCAGGAGAAUUCCUAGUGUAGAGGUGAAAUUCGUAGAUAUUAGGAGGAAUACCAGUGGCGUAGGCGCCUGACUGGACGAUUAUUGACGCUGAGGUACGAAAGCGUGGGGAGCAAACAGGAUUAGAUACCCUGGUAGUCCACGCCGUAAACGAUGUGAACUAGUUGUCAGGUCCUUAGAGGCUUGGUGACGCAGCUAACGCACUAAGUUCACCGCCUGGGAAGUACGGCCGCAAGGUUAAAACUUAAAUGAAUUGACGGGG